AGCAGCCGCGGUAAUUCCAGCUCCAAUAGCGUAUAUUAAAGUUGUUGCAGUUAAAAGCUCGUAGUUGAAUUUCGGGAUCAAUAUGUUGGUCGUGCCUUGGUACGUACUGGCAUUAUUGGUUCCUACCUUCUGAAGAACCUCGAUGUCAUUAAUUUGGUGUCUUGGGGAAUCAGGACCGUUACUUUGAAAAAUUAGAGUGUUUAAAGCAGGCCCGCGCUUGAAUACAUUAGCAUGGAAUAAUGAAAUAGGACGUUUGACUCUAUUUUGUUGGUUUCUAGGAUCGACGUAAUGAUUAAUAGGGAUAGUUGGGGGCAUUAGUAUUCAAUUGUCAGAGGUGAAAUUCUUGGAUUUAUUGAAGACUAACUACUGCGAAAGCAUUUGCCAAGGAUGUUUUCAUUAAUCAAGAACGAAAGUUAGGGGAUCGAAGACGAUCAGAUACCGUCGUAGUCUUAACCAUAAACUAUGCCGACUAGGGAUCGGAUGAUGUAAUUUUUAAUGACUCAUUCGGCGCCUUACGGGA
rnacentral:rRNA from 1 species